rnacentral:lncRNA from 10 species
CCCACCUGAGCGGCGCAUCCUCAGGGCCUGGGCCUGGCCUCCUUGCCUGUGAGAUGGCACUGUGACGGUGCCCACCUCGUGGGGUGUGUGAGGGCCGAGUGAAAUCGUGCAUUUGCGGAAAUGCCCAUGACCUUCAUCGCAGCAGCGUAUGUGCGUUGGUCUUCUCCAGGGAUGCCGAAAGUAGACAUACAGGGAGUCGCAGUACGGAUACCACCAGUGCCAGCCUGACCUCACAAGAGACGUCUUGUGUGACUGGCCCUGCCGUCACAGCUGGGCCAGUAAAGUACCUUCCAGGAGGCUCCAGUUGCUACCUGACUCACAACCUUCUAAUCCCAUGAUCUUUUAGUUCUAGUUUCCUUAUCUUGGUCUGAGCAAAUGGCUCAUUUUAAAGAUGACUUGCAGACAAAUGUAGAGAUCAUCCCAGGGGAAAGUGCCCCAAGAAAGGAGAGUCCAAGACCACCUGCCCCUCCCAGUUCUGCGGCUGGAGUGGGUGGGUGCAGCAACCACAGCCCCAGUGUACAGGAGUCACCACUGUCUCCUCCCGCAUUGGCCCAGCUUGGAAGUGCACAGCAACCAAGCAUGAGGACUGAGUUAAGCUUUUCGGAGAAAAAAGACACUAUGAUCAUCUGGCAGAUCACGAUCACUGUUUGGUGCCAGAGGUAAGGAGUUUGCUUGUUGUGUUUGCUUGGAGGCGACAGUUGGCAAUGACAGCCUGGGAGAAGCACCGGCAGUUAACAGCACUCUGCACCACUCAUGGCUGAGACUGAGGGGAGCCUUUUACAGCAGCUCUGAAAGCAGGAGGUGUUCUCAGACUUGACCCUGAAGUAAACACAUCUCUUUCACCUUUUUCUUAAGUGCUUGCUGGCACAUAACCACUUGCUGAAAUUGUGUCAUUGAUGCUAAAUUAGGAACACAUUAUAUGGAAGGAAGGGAACCACUUCUCAGCACACAUGCCCAGGCAGACUGUGUGGGAUAGAUUUCUGCUUCUCAGAUAAGCCCUGGGCUAGAGACACUUGAGAUGUGGUGGUGAUCUCUGGAGGGAAAGCAGGAAGGCUUCAGGUCUCUUUUAGACUGAAAGAGAAGGGCCUCAUCUGCAGUUUAGUAUACUCUGAGGGUCUGGAAAUCCUUUAGGCGAGGUGCUCUUCCAUCAAAAAGCCAGAUGCUAAGGCAGCAGGUGGAGUUACAGCCCUAUCACCCCAGGCAGCAGCCAGAAAAAAUGGGUCAGGUAAACUCACCUACUCCAACUAAAAGAGCACGGGCAGAAUGCUUCCUCUUAGCCAGUGGUUUCCAAACUUGAAUGUAAAUCAAAAUCACCUGAGGGCUUAUUAAGCCACAUUGCUGAUGCAUUUCUGACUCAGUGGGUCUGGGCCCGCCUUCCUAGCAAGCAACCAGGUGAUGCUGAUAAACUGCUGGUCAGGGACUCAUGUUGAAAACCACAGCUCCAGAUCACAUAGACAUCUGUACCAAAGAAGCGACGAGGGCACAGACAAAUUCCAUUAUAAUAGCCAUCUUUAUUUGUAAAAAUCCAGAUAUAAAAUGUAUUCUUUCAGUC